rnacentral:tRNA from 1 species
GCGUCGGUAGUGUAAUGGAGUAGACCAAUCCCACACGGUCGACAGGAGGUGCGGGUUCGAGUCCCGCCCAGCGCU